CCACGCCGUAAACGAUGUCGACUUGGAGGUUGUGCCCUUGAGGCGUGGCUUCCGGAGCUAACGCGUUAAGUCGACCGCCUGGGGAGUACGGCCGCAAGGUUAAAACUCAAAUGAAUUGACGGGGGCCCGCACAAGCGGUGGAGCAUGUGGUUUAAUUCGAUGCAACGCGAAGAACCUUACCUGGUCUUGACAUCCACAGAACCCUGUAGAGAUACGGGGGUGCCUUCGGGAACUGUGAGACAGGUGCUGCAUGGCUGU
rnacentral:rRNA from 1 species